GCACAAGCGGUGGAGCAUGUGGUUUAAUUCGACGCAACGCGCAGAACCUUACCAGCCCUUGACAUCCCGGUCGCGGACUCCAGAGAUGGAGUUCUUCAGUUCGGCUGGACCGGAGACAGGUGCUGCAUGGCUGUCGUCAGCUCGUGUCGUGAGAUGUUGGGUUAAGUCCCGCAACGAGCGCAACCCCCGUCCUUAGUUGCUACCAUUUAGUUGAGCACUCUAAGGAGACUGCCGGUGAUAAGCCGCGAGGAAGGUGGGGAUGACGUCAAGUCCUCAUGGCCCUUACGGGCUGGGCUACACACGUGCUACAAUGGCGGUGACAAUGGGACGCUAAGGGGCAACCCUUCGCAAAUCUCAAAAAGCCGUCUCAGUUCGGAUUGGGCUCUGCAACUCGAGCCCAUGAAGUUGGAAUCGCUAGUAAUCGUGGAUCAGCAUGCCACGGUGAAUACGUUCCCGGGC
rnacentral:rRNA from 1 species